rnacentral:rRNA from 1 species
GACGAACGCUGGCGGCGUGCUUAACACAUGCAAGUCGAACGGAAAGGCCCUGCUUUUGUGGGGUGCUCGAGUGGCAAACGGGUGAGUAACACGUGAGUAACCUGCCCUUGACUUUGGGAUAACUUCAGGAAACUGGGGCUAAUACCGGAUAGGAGCUCCUGCUGCAUGGUGGGGGUUGGAAAGUUUCGGCGGUUGGGGAUGGACUCGCGGCUUAUCAGCUUGUUGGUGGGGUAGUGGCUUACCAAGGCUUUGACGGGUAGCCGGCCUGUGAGGGUGACCGGCCACAUUGGGACUGAGAUACGGCCCAGACUCCUACGGGAGGCAGCAGUGGGGAAUAUUGCACAAUGGGCGGAAGCCUGAUGCAGCAACGCCGCGUGCGGGAUGACGGCCUUCGGGUUGUAAACCGCUUUCGCCUGUGACGAAGCGUGAGUGACGGUAAUGGGUAAAGAAGCACCGGCUAACUACGUG